rnacentral:rRNA from 1 species
ACUUUCAGCAACGGAUCUCUUGGCUCUCGCAUCGAUGAAGAACGCAGCGAAAUGCGAUAAGUAAUGUGAAUUGCAGAAUUCAGUGAAUCAUCGAAUCUUUGAACGCACCUUGCGCUCCUUGGUAUUCCGAGGAGCAUGCCUGUUUGAGUGUCAUUAAAUUCUC